GGGGAUGUAGCUCAGAUGGUAGAGCGCUCGCUUAGCAUGCGAGAAGUACGGGGAUCGAUACCUGCAUCUCCA
rnacentral:tRNA from 1 species